AUGCUACAGAAUGUCAGAAUAACAAAGCCGAAUGCUAGCAGCUGCUAACCUUCUGUCGGCUCGAGCACAGUAAAGUAAAAGGACGUACAGGAAGCAGCAGUGUGACAGCAGAGACGAGUGCAAGUCGCAGUUUUCUGACUGAAUGGAAGACGUUUGUUUUUUCUUCUUUCUCUUCCUCAGAAAUGUAAAGGACACAGUGAAGUAAAAGAGGACAGGACAGCGGACGGACGGAAGGACGGACGGACCUCUUAUCCACCUCCGGAUCUGAGCGGGAAGAAAAGAACGGAAAAGAAGGACAGGAAGGGAAGAAGAAGAGAACAGAAUCCCAAAAAUGUUAAAACUUCAGUCUGAUAUGAGGAUUAUUUUUUAUUCUCUACAAAGUCAAAAACAUUUUAAAAUAAAAAGAGUUUCAAACUUACAAAAAUAACAAACAAAAAACAAGCAAAACAAACAACAGGCGGCUAACAUAAAUGAAACACACAGCAAUGAUAUGAAGAAAUACUUUUUACUCUCAUAAAGUCUGUUUACUGACUGACUGAAUGGUGAACAAACAGUACAGAAGAAUUAAUUCAUGUACCUCAGUAACAGUUUAUACGUACUUAAAGUGUCCCGUUCACCUCUGGUUCUUUGGUUAUUUUCUGUUAUUGUGUUUUGUAGUGCGGUACAGAUGAGCAGCGCUCUGUCAGGUAACACCAGUAGUAGUGUUCCAUCAGUAAAGCUGCUGUGUCCCAAAUAUCAAAACAUUUGCUAAA